rnacentral:rRNA from 1 species
AUUGAACGCUGGCGGCAGGCCUAACACAUGCAAGUCGAGCGAGCGGCGGACGGGUGAGUAAUGUAUGGGGACUGCCCGAUAGAGGGGGGUAACUACUGGAAACGGUAGCUAAAACCCCGUACUAUAGGAUAACCCAUAUGGGAUUAGCUAGUAGGUGAGGUAAGGGAUCACCUAGGCGACGAUCCCUAGCUGGUCUGAGAGGAUGAUCAGCCACACUGGGACUGAGACACGGCCCAGACUCCUACGGAGGCAGCAGUGGGGAAUAGUGCGCAAUGGGCGCAAGCCUGAUGCAGCCAUGCCGCGUGUAUGAAGAAGGCCCUAGGGUUGUAAAGUACUUUCAGUCGGGAGGCGUUACCUACAGAAGAAGCACCGGCUAACUCCGUGCCAGCAGCCGCGGUAAUUC